rnacentral:rRNA from 1 species
CUAACUGGAGGACCGAACCGACUAAUGUUGAAAAAUUAGCGGAUGACCUGUGGCUGGGGGUGAAAGGCCAAUCAAACCGGGAGAUAGCUGGUUCUCCCCGAAAGCUAUUUAGGUAGCGCCUCGUGAACUCAUCUCCGGGGGUAGAGCACUGUUUCGGCUAGGGGGCCAUCCCGGCUUACCAACCCGAUGCAAACUGCGAAUACCGGAGAAUGUUAUCACGGGAGACACACGGCGGGUGCUAACGUCCGUCGUGAAGAGGGAAACAACCCAGACCGCCAGCUAAGGUCCCAAAGUCAUGGUUAAGUGGGAAACGAUGUGGGAAGGCCCAGACAGCCAGGAUGUUGGCUUAGAAGCAGCCAUCAUUUAAAGAAAGCGUAAUAGCUCACUGGUCGAGUCGGCCUGCGCGGAAGAUGUAACGGGGCUAAACCAUGCACCGAAGCUGCGGCAGCGACACUCAGGUGUUGUUGGGUAGGGGAGCGUUCUGUAAGCCUGCGAAGGUGGCCUGUGAGGGUUGCUGGAGGUAUCAGAAGUGCGAAUGCUGACAUAAGUAACGAUAAAGCGGGUGAAAAGCCCGCUCGCCGGAAGACCAAGGGUUCCUGUCCAACGUUAAUCGGGGCAGGGUGAGUCGACCCCUAAGGCGAGGCCGAAAGGCGUAGUCGAUGGGAAACGGGUUAAUAUUCCCGUACUUGGUGUUACUGCGAAGGGGGGACGGAGAAGGCUAUGUUGGCCGGGCGACGGUUGUCCCGGUUUAAGCGUGUAGGUGUGUGUUCCAGGUAAAUCCGGUUCACUUUAACACUGAGGCGUGAUGACGAGGCACUACGGUGCUGAAGCAACAAAUGCCCUGCUUCCAGGAAAAGCCUCUAAGCAUCAGGUAACAUCAAAUCGUACCCCAAACCGACACAGGUGGUCAGGUAGAGAAUACCAAGGCGCUUGAGAGAACUCGGGUGAAGGAACUAGGCAAAAUGGUGCCGUAACUUCGGGAGAAGGCACGCUGACACGUAGGUGAAGUGAUUUACUCAUGGAGCUGAAGUCAGUCGAAGAUACCAGCUGGCUGCAACUGUUUAUUAAAAACACAGCACUGUGCAAACACGAAAGUGGACGUAUACGGUGUGACGCCUGCCCGGUGCCGGAAGGUUAAUUGAUGGGGUCAGCGCAAGCGAAGCUCCUGAUCGAAGCCCCGGUAAACGGCGGCCGUAACUAUAACGGUCCUAAGGUAGCGAAAUUCCUUGUCGGGUAAGUUCCGACCUGCACGAAUGGCGUAAUGAUGGCCAGGCUGUCUCCACCCGAGACUCAGUGAAAUUGAACUCGCUGUGAAGAUGCAGUGUACCCGCGGCAAGACGGAAAGACCCCGUGAACCUUUACUAUAGCUUGACACUGAACAUUGAGCCUUGAUGUGUAGGAUAGGUGGGAGGCUUUGAAGUGUGGACGCCAGUCUGCAUGGAGCCGGCCUUGAAAUACCACCCUUUAAUGUUUGAUGUUCUAACGUGGACCCGUGAUCCGGGUUGCGGACAGUGUCUGGUGGGUAGUUUGACUGGGGCGGUCUCCUCCUAAAGAGUAACGGAGGAGCACGAAGGUUGGCUAAUCCUGGUCGGACAUCAGGAGGUUAGUGCAAUGGCAUAAGCCAGCUUGACUGCGAGCGUGACGGCGCGAGCAGGUGCGAAAGCAGGUCAUAGUGAUCCGGUGGUUCUGAAUGGAAGGGCCAUCGCUCAACGGAUAAAAGGUACUCCGGGGAUAACAGGCUGAUACCGCCCAAGAGUUCAUAUCGACGGCGGUGUUUGGCACCUCGAUGUCGGCUCAUCACAUCCUGGGGCUGAAGUAGGUCCCAAGGGUAUGGCUGUUCGCCAUUUAAAGUGGUACGCGAGCUGGGUUUAGAACGUCGUGAGACAGUUCGGUCCCUAUCUGCCGUGGGCGCUGGAGAACUGAGGGGGGCUGCUCCUAGUACGAGAGGACCGGAGUGGACGCAUCACUGGUGUUCGGGUUGUCAUGCCAAUGGCACUGCCCGGUAGCUAAAUGCGGAAGAGAUAAGUGCUGAAAGCAUCUAAGCACGAAACUUGCCCCGAGAUGAGUUCUCCCUGAGACUUUAGGUCUCCUGAAGGAACGUUGAAGACGACGACGUUGAUAGGCCGGGUGUGUAAGCGCAGCGAUGCGUUGAGCUAACCGGUACUAAUGAACCGUGAGGCUUAACCUUACA